UACGAAGGGUGCAAACGUUGCUCGGAAUUAUUGAGCGUAAAGCGCACGUAGGCGGCUUGGCAAGUCGGAUGUGAAAUCCCUCGGCUCAACCAAGGAAGUGCAUCCGAAACUGCUGAGCUUGAGUUCUUAAGAGGAUCGCGGAAUUCCCGGUGUAGAGGUGAAAUUCGUAGAUAUCGGGAGGAACACCAGUGGCGAAGGCGGCGAUCUGGGAAGAUACUGACACUAAAAAACGAAAGCGUGGAGAGCAAACAGG
rnacentral:rRNA from 1 species